rnacentral:rRNA from 1 species
CAGUCGCCGCGGGAAUACGAGGGGGGCAAGCGUUAUCCGGAAUGAUUGGGCGUAAAGCGUGCGCAGGCGGUUCGUUAAGACAGAUGUGAAAUCCCCGGGCUUAACCUGGGAACUGCAUUUGUGACUGGCGAGCUAGAGUAUGGCAGAGGGGGGUAGAAUUCCACGUGUAGCAGUGAAAUGCGUAGAGAUGUGGAGGAAUACCGAUGGCAAAGGCAGCCCCCUGGGCCAAUACUGACGCUGAGGUGCGAAAGCGUGGGGAGCAAACAGGAUUAGAUACCCCAGUAGUCCCUGUCUCUUAUAC